ensembl:lncRNA
AGUUAUUCAGCAUCCUGAGGAGAAACCAACUGUAACAACUGUCAGUCAUUCAGCAUCCUGUAGAGAAACCAACUAAACCAACUGUCAGUUAUUCAGCAUCCUGUGGAGAACCCAACUGUCAGUUAUUCAGCAUCCUGAGGAGAAACCAACUGUAACAACUGUCAGUCAUUCAGCAUCCUGUAGAGAAACCAACUGUCAGUCAUUCAGCAUCCUGAGGAGAAACCAACUGUAACAACUGUCAGUCAUUCAGCAUCCUGUAGAGAAACCAACUAAACCAACUGUCAGUCAUUCAGCAUCUUGUAGAGAAACCAACUGUCAGUCAUUCAUCAUCCCGAGGAGAAACCAACUGUAACAACUGCCAGUCAUUCAGCAUCCUGUAGAGAAACCAACUGUCAGUCAUUCAGCAUCCUGAGGAUAAACCAACUGUAACAA